GUGUUAGAACCGCUAUUUAUAUUCUUUAAAAAAUUACAUUUAAGCACAAAGAAUUUUUUUAGACUUAUAUUGACCACAACGUGCUUAUGCAAAUUAUGUUCAACAUUAGACCACAAAUUUAAUAUUUUGCUACCAGUGAAUAUUCCAAAGUCAUAAUCAUUGUUUGAUUUGGGUGACUAUUUGAGCAAAGUGUCUCCCAUUCAUUAUCUUACAAGCUUGAAUGAAUGAAACGAAUCAAAUACAAUAAUAAAAGUAUAUUAAUGAGUAUAUUUUCAGUUUGUUGAUUACGAGAUUCAUUUGCCUAAUUAUUGAUCAUGACUUUAGAAUAUCUAUCUGAUAGAUAAUAUUUUUAUUAAGUAAUAUACAAUGCAGAAUAACAAUGUGUAUGUAGCACAACAUAUCAAAAUUAUUACUUUCGUGGGCGAAUUUUGCCGUUUUAUUGAGAUAUCAGGUUUAUUCCUAGGUUAUAACUGUUUUUAGGAUUUUUAUUAAAAUUUAAAAUUACAAUAUAUCUCAUAAAUAAACAUUAUAUUAUAUAACUUUCGAUUGGGUUAGGACCUAAGAUGACGCCAUGAUAAUAUUUCUUUGCAGUUCAACCAAUAUACCACCAUUCACAAACCAGUAGGGGAAAGUGGGGCAAUUUUUUUAGCAAAUCAGCCAAAUUUGUUGAGGACUAACAUCAACUUUCCUCCACAUAUAUAUAGUUUUCCUUCAAGAAUUAUCUUUCAAUACCAUUUUUUAUUUUCAUUCGCAUGACAUAUUUGUAACAAAUCAGUGGCCGUUGUUUUAUUGGUUCUAUUUGUGGAAAAGAAAGACGUAAGAAGCCGUGCCGGAUCUGUGUCCAGUUGGGGAAAGUAGAGCAGCUUUUUAAACAAAUCAGUCAUGGAAUUAAUUCUCUUAAAUUAUAUUUUUUGUGGGUAAUAUUAUGCCGUUUGGACCGAUUUUGCGAUCACUAGGGAAAAGUAGUGCAAUUUUUUAGUCACUUUCCUUCAGGUUUAACAUCAUAUUUCCUCCAUUUCUAUUUUUUGUUCCAUUCACAUGACAUAGGGGAGAGUAGGGCAAUUUUUUUUCUUCAUAUUUAUGUUGUUUACCUUCUAGAAUUCUCAUUUAAUUCAAUUUUUUAAAUGAUAUUAUAUCGAUGUAUGCUUUUCUUGUUCCAUUCGCAUGAUCUAUUUGUACCAAAUCAAUUGCUGUUAUAUUAUUGGUUCUAUUUUUUUAACAGCAAGAAAAAAGACGCAAAACGCAAUGCAGGAUCUGCGUGUGGACGGUUUUUCCGAUGAGACUCGAAGCAAGGAUACGAAUUAGAAUCAUCAUAAAAUGUAACGACGAUGAAAGGGGCUGCAAUUUUUGUCACACAUAAUUUCCUUUCCACAUUAUUGUGCGUUUGGUAUUUUUUUUAUCAAUUUCAAUGAAAUAUUAUCAUUGGUACGUCGAUAAUAUUGUGCCGUUUCGGCUUUUCCUUUGAUAUGCAAAAUGCAUUCUGAAAAAUAAUCAGUCUACUAUAUCUUGCGAACGGGUAGAAUUUGUCAUUUGAAAAUCUUAAAACUGGUUAUUAUCUAUUUAGUAAUAUUAAGAUAAUCUAGACUCUAUGAAGUACAAUUAACACUUAUCUUCUGGUAAUUUAUAACAAUAUUAUUAAUUUUUGCAUAUUCUUCUUCUUUUUGUUCCUUAUAAUAGAACUAUAGCAUUUUAACAGUGCUUAACACAUAUUCGUAGGUGUCCGUAAGUGUUUGGAUUCUUUUCAAAGGCAAUAGCACACCUUUUGCACUUUCGUUUAUAUUAACUUUUUACAUUGCAUUAAAAUGACGAUAUUAUAGCUUAGACGAAAUUUUCUGUUACUUACACAAUAUAUAACGUUACAGUUUAAGAUAACGUAGUCUAUAAAUAUUUAUUUAAAUAAAUACUGAUAAAAAUAAUCGAUAACUUUGUUCGCCGUUUAUAAUCAGAGUCGAUGCCGAACCGAUUGAUGUCCCCCGCGAACAUAGAACUGUUCCUAUAAAAUUAAAACUGAACGAAUUAGUUCUGAAAGUGCGCUAUCGAUCAGUGCCUGAAUGGAAUUAAACUCGCGAACAAAGCUAUGUUAUGUCAAUAUCCGCCAUGAUUGAUGAUCAUGAAUUUUUAUUAUGAAUUAGUUGUUCGAAAUGAUGUACAAACGUUUAUUUGAUAGUAGAUUAAUACAUCGCAUUGUAUUGUAUGUUGGUUAUUACAAAUUCCUAUUGCUGUCAAUAACCCCUUCGUUGGUAUAAAUAUAAAUAUUAUUAAAAGAACAUUAUCUGCUGUAUCUGAGAGGUAUAUUUUUUGAUAUUAAAAUUUCGUCUUUUUCAUUAUUCAAACUGAAAGUAUAGUUGAAGAACUCUUAUUAUAUAUUGUCUCAGAUGAAUAAUAGAUUACAAUUUAAUAAGUCUCCAUUAGUUACUUGACAUUUACUAAUAAGCUUUUUAUUUUACUUUAUGGUAAAUAGAAAAUAUUUAGUACAUGCGGACAUCUACGCUUAAAUUUUUAAUAAUUUUCAAUGCACAAACGAAUACUGCUUACUUUUACUAUAAAAUAAUAUGUAUGCUAUAAAAUCACAACGAAAUUUUAUGUACAGAAAUAAUAUAACACAUUCGUCUCUAUCACAACACAAAGACCCGAAGGAUCCCAAUAAGAAACGUAUUUAAACCAACCAGUUGGUCAUGAAAAUGAUUUUAUAUCAAAUUUGAAAGUAUAUCACAAAAACUUUUCUGCAAUUUGGUGACAAGAAGUGUGGGUGACUGCAAAAUAUCAAAAAAAUUUCUUGUUGCACUACAUCACUUAAAAAAUUCUUUAUAGUUAUAAAAUUCAUUAAUACACAAAAAAAGUUUUGAAUCAAAAGUUCACAUCUGGCCCCUGGUAUGUGGGUUGCCUCAAAAAUUUGGUAGCAUUGUAUAAUAGAGAAAUGCCGAAAAAUUGCCACAAAAAUCUGAGCAGCAUUGAAUAGUGGAGGAUUGGGAAAAGAUGUUGCCUUCAGCUGGGUUGCAAACGGGCAAAAUACCCUACUUUUCUCUUAAGGUGUAAUGUACUAUUAAAUAUAUUGCAAUCAAUGUCUGGAUAGCAUUAAUAAUAAACUGUCACUAAUAGAAUAGCUGCUUUGUUCGUCUUGGUGAUGAAUAACAGUUUUUAAAAACAAACAAUUGUCAUAAAGCCUUUUCGAAUGUAAUGUCUUUCAUUUCUGCAUAGUUAUUAUCUUGUUGAUUACUUGCAAUGUUGGCAGAUAUUUUUAUAACAAGCUUUUUCCAAUUUUGUGACAAUAAUUCUUCAAAACAAUGGCUGGGAUACCGAGAGGAUGGUAAAAAAAUAUAAACAGGUCUCCAUACAUAAAUGAAAGUUUUAUGCAACUAUUUGAUCUUAAAAUUUGGAUAGAAAACUGUCAGUAGUAAAAAUUUCCUUGUUACUGUGAUUUCUUGAAGUAUACAGGGAUAAUUAUGGAUACGGUUUCAUACUUUCGGUACAUUAUUCAUUUAUGAAACAAAUGAGUGCAAUUUAUAAUAUAAAUUUAUAAUUAAUUAUAGCCCGGGAAGAAAUAUGUCAUCCAAUUUCCUAGAAUAAUGAAACUUGAUAUAAAAUUAUUAUUUUCAUUUAUUAAUAAGUUGAGUGACAGACAUUUGCUAUUCGGAUCUUCUACUAUGUCUUUAGCUUUUAAAUAAUAUUAUAAUAUAUAUUUGAAUACCCCAUACAAUCAAUAACAAUUAUGUUUUUUAUAAUUUAUUGUGAUAAGUCAGAUUAAAUUGUGUUCCGACGAUAAUUUUUUCAAGAUUUUUAUUCUGGGAAUGGAAAGAAAUUUUGACCAUUAAAAAAAAAUAAAUUUGCAUUAUACCAAAUGUUGUAAUAACAUCGAUAAUGAAAAUAUUGAUGAAAUAUUGGGCGGUCGAGUUCCAAAAUUCACUUUUUUAAAUGUUUACAGGAUCCUAUAUAAUCUAUUUCAAGAAACUGUUGAUAAUGCGGAUUUUAUCGGUAUGAGUGAUUUUUUUUCUGAAAUUUCUUGAUUAUUACAUUUAUUGAUCUCAUUUUUUUAUUUUUAUCUUUCUUCAUAUUUGUAUGUUUGUUUGGUUGGAGCGUUUACUUAGUUCUUUCUAAAAACUUAAUAUUCUUCUGUUUUAGGGAUUCUUAUUGUUGUUGCAUAGUUUUGUGGAUAUCAAAAAUGAAUCUUCCAAUAUUUCAUCCAAUAGAAAUUGAAGAGUUUCGUGGUACUAGUAUAAAAUUAACGUAAACACCACUAGCUUCUUGUAUAUCAGGCUUAAAGCAUUCCAUUGGACUACCAUCUAAACUGAUCGAUUCUUCAGAAGAUAGAUAUGGUAAAUUAAAAUUUUGAGACGUUGAUGGUUGUCAAUUAAUCUUUGGAGUGGAGAUAAUUCUUACUUAAAGGAGAAACUGAUAGAAGCAACUUUUGGUACACCGUGUGUGUCAUUCAGGAAUCUAUUGGUUCUCCAUGAUGCUUCAAGAUUGAUUUCAUCUUCGGAACCACAUUUCACCUGUUUUCGAUUCUUUAUUUUUUUGUAAAAUUGUACAAAAUAAACUAAAAGUGGUGAAAUCGUCCUA